AUACUUACCUGGUAGGGGAGACACUAUGAUCAUGAAGGUGGUUCACCCAGGGCGAGGCGAGGCCAUUGUACUUCGGCUGUGCUGACGCUUGCGAAUUCCACAAAUGUGGAAAUCUCAACUGCAUUAUUAGGGACAGUGGUGGCGCAGUGGUUGAGGCUCUGG